CAAGUUGCUAGGAAAUUCAUGCCU
rnacentral:siRNA from 1 species